UCCUCGGUAGCUCAAUGGUAGAGUGGCGGUCUGUUAAACCGUAGGUUGCUGGUUCGAGUCCAGCCCGGGGAGC
rnacentral:tRNA from 1 species